rnacentral:rRNA from 1 species
CGUAGGUAGUUGAUCGAGUGGCGUACGAGGACGACGCGUGGCGGCGUGGAUUAGGCAUGCAAGUACGAACGGUAUCAUCCUUCGGGGUGAGAGAGUGGCGAACUGGUGAGUAACACGUAGGUUAUCUACCUCAAGACGGGGAAACCCAGGGAAACUUGGGCUAAUACCGGAUGUGAGCAACUUUUAGUUGUUUGAAAGGUGGCGUAAGCUGUCGCUUGGGGAUGAGCCUGCGUCCUAUUAGUUAGUUGGUGAGGUAACGGCUCACCUAGGCAAUGAUAGGUAGGCGGCCUUAACGGGUGGUCGCCCACACUGGGAUUGAGAUACGGCCCAGACUCCUACGGGAGGCAGCAGUCGAGAAUAGUCUACAAUGGUCGGAAGACUGAUAGUGCGACGCCGCGUGAACGAUGAAUCCCUUCGGGGUGUAAAGUUCUUUUAUAUGUGAGCAGUGCUUCUUAUAUUAACAGUAUGGGGAGAGAGAUAUUAGCAUAUGAAUAAGCAACGGCUAACUCCGUG